rnacentral:rRNA from 1 species
UACAGAGGUGGCAAGCGUUGUUCGGAAUUACUGGGCGUAAAGGGCGCGUAGGCGGCCCUCUAAGUCAGACGUGAAAUCCCCCGGCUUAACCUGGGAACUGCGUCUGAUACUGGAGGGCUUGAGUAUGGGAGAGGGAUGUAGAAUUCCAGGUGUAGCGGUGAAAUGCGUAGAUAUCGUAAGGAAGACCAGUGGCGAAGGCGAGUCUCUGGACAGUUACUGACACUGAGGCACGAAGGCCAGGGGAGCAAACGGG